rnacentral:rRNA from 1 species
AUGGAAGGCGAAUUAAUCUCGACCAUCAAGACCGUUGUCUCAACCACCACGGAAAUUAUCUCUGGAUUCAAUGAUUGGGUGGGAUUCUUUCAAUGGCUCCGUCCUGACAAUAAUCAAGAGUCCAAGCAGCAGCACGAGGAGCUUUGGAAGCUCCAAACAACUCUCCCACUUAUGCAAGUGAUGAUUGACAGAGCGGAAUGGUCAAUCCAUAAGGAAGGUGUUCCGAUACUGCUAGAAGAGCUGAAGGAUGUGACUUAUGACACAGAAGAUCUUAUUGAAGAGUUCAAAUACUUUAAGAUGAAAUCUGAGAUGGAUGGUCCACAAUCACUAAUGAAGCGAUCAUUAGACUUUAUCAAGAGCGACAUCUCAUCUAGCUUUGACAAAGUGAAGCUUUUACAACAAAGAGCUGAACAUUUGAUGAGUAAGUUGAAUGCUACGGAUUUGCAGCAAGAAACUCCACGCUUUGAUAGGUCAGUCAGACCUGAGACAAGCUCUUUUCCUGAUUCAAAGGUCUUUGGUCGCCAGAAAGAAACAGUGGCACUGAAAGUAUUGCUUGGUGUACCGGUAUCUAUUCCUAGUGGGUCAAAACGGAAGAAAGGUCACCCUGUAGCUGCUGAGGCCACUGCACAGAAGGAUUGUAUGGAUUAUCCAGUGAACAAUGCUGUGUCUGUGUUGCCAAUAGUGGGGAUCGGAGGUGUUGGCAAAACUACGUUGGCACAACAAUUAUGCCAGGAUCAACAUGUGAAAGCUUACUUUGAUCAAAUACUUUGGACAUGUGUUUCAGAUGACUUUGACACUAAGCAGUUAACCAAAGAGCUGGUGCAUUCCUGUGGAGAAGAAAUAGCGUCCGAUAAUCUAGACUACCUUCAAAAUAAGCUGGCUAAAGUUGUGAGAUUGAAGCGGUUCUUGAUGGUUUUGGAUGAUGUGUGGGAUGAUUCCGUGAAAGAUAAUGGGCAAGAAUGGCAAAAGUUUUGCGCACCUCUAACUACCGGAGUUCAGGGAAGUAUGAUUCUGGUGACCACUAGAUCCUCAAAGGUAGCUAAGCUUGUAUGCACAUUGAAUCCUUUUCAGCUUCAAGGCUUAGAAGAGGAUACCUUUUGGGAGUUCUUUAAAACAUGUGCUCUGGGCGGAAAGAGCUCCACUAUGGAUGUCAAGCUUGCAACUAUUGGUAGAAUGAUUGUGCCAAAGCUGAAAGGUUCUCCGUUAGCUGCAAAGACACUUGGGCGCCUUCUAGGAAUGAAGAUUGACACUGUUCAUUGGACCAAUAUUCUAAAUAGUGAGCUGUGGGAACUAAAGCAGGAAGUAGGUGAUAUUCUUCCGGCCCUUAGAUUAAGUUAUUUGUAUUUACCACGACAUUUGAGGAGGUGCCUAUCAUUGUGUGCGAUGUUUCCUAAGGAUCAUAAGUUCGAGCAAACAGUUCUUGUUGACCUUUGGUCUGCUCAAUGCUUUGCGGAAACUCAAGAUAAGAUCUGUAUGCAUACAGCUGGAGACUGGUGUUUUGAAGAGCUUGAAAGUCGCUGUUUCUUCCAAGAAGUCGUUCCAUCAUCAGCGUCACAAAUAUCACCAAAAAUUAAGAAGUAUGUGAUGCAUGAUUUAAUUCAUGACAUGAUACAACUAGUUUCUGGAAAUGAAUGUUUUGUUAUAAGAAAUGAAAUAGAUCUGUCGAAUGUACCUGAAAAAGUUCGGCAUGUAUCAUUGUUCACAAGCAAGGGUUUUGAUUAUCAAAAGCUCGUGGCAUUAACAAGGUGUAGGAAGCUGCGGUCUAUUCUGAGCAGGGAGCAACUCGGGAAAAAAAUAUUUUUCCCUCUAGUUAAUUCUUGGUCCAAAGAGCUAAAGUAUUUGCGUUUCCUGUCCUGUUGCUUCACCAAGUUAACUAUGUUACCGGAGGCCAUUGCAAACUUCAAACUUCUUUGCUGCUUUAAGGUUCACUGUCCCAGGCGUUGGACCAUGGACACAUUUCCAGAAUCAUAUUGUUCUCUCUAUAACCUACAGAAGUUUGAGGCUAAGAAUUGCACUUUUAAGAGCUUGCCAAAGGAGUUCAGGAAGCUUGUUAACUUGCAGUCAUUCGAAGUAAGAACUUUUGUUCAUGGCAGGAACUACACUAACUUUUGGGGAAUAUCUAUGGAAGUGUUGAAAAACAUGCAUCUCCAAGGAGAGCUGUAUCUGAACUUGUCACGUGUGAAACUGGCUGGUUGUGCGGAGCUUGAGUUGAGGAAGAGGAAGCAUGUUGAGAUGCUAACUUUAAAUUUUUAUCAUACCCAAAACACCCAAGAUCAGGAGCUGGAAAUGCUUGAGCUUCUUUGUCCACACUCAGGUAUUAAAUUUCUGGAAAUCUGUGGUUUCAGAGGCGAUUCUACUCCAACAUGGCUUCAGCCAUCAUAUUUGCAGAAUUUAGUACAACUUCGGUUGGUACGUGUCCAUUUUCUCUCAAUGGCUUGGGUUGAUAACAAUGCAUUCUUAUUCAUCAAUGAUCUGUACAUUUCUCGCUGUCCUAGAUUAUCAUCUCUUGAAAAUAUUUUGAAGUCAGCUAGUCUUCCAACGGUCAGAUCAAUUUUCAUUGAAGAGUGUUUAGGAUUGUCAUCUAUGCGAGGUGAAAGAUUUGGCGAGUUGAGUUGUUUAAAAGAAUUGAAGCUAAGCAAGUGUCCAAAUAUCUUGUGGAAUGGAUUAGUUCUUCCAUCGUCUCUUCUAAAGCUGCAUCUCGAAGACUGUGGAGAUAUUUCGAAUUACAUUCCCAACUGCUUGGUUAACCUUGAGAAUUUGAUACGCAUGUCCCUGGUAAAGCUGAUCACCAUCAGAUCCAUUCCAGCGGAAAUCUGGUGGACCAGAAGCAAUUGA